rnacentral:rRNA from 1 species
GGUCCCUACGGGACGCAGCAGGGGGGAAUAUUGCACAAUGGGGGAAACCCUGAUGCAGCGACGCCGCGUGAGCGAUGAAGUAUUUCGGUAUGUAAAGCUCUAUCAGCAGGGAAGAAAAUGACGGUACCUGACUAAGAAGCCCCGGCUAACUACGUGCCAGCAGCCGCGGUAAUACGUAGGGGGCAAGCGUUAUCCGGAAUUACUGGGUGUAAAGGGAGCGAAGACGGUUAAGUAAGUCUGGAGUGAAAGGCCGGGGCGCAACACGGGGACGGCUCGGGAAACUAUUGA